rnacentral:rRNA from 1 species
CGUGGGUGACCGCGUGGGAGAGUAGGUCGCCGCCGGUC